AUCGUAACAAGGUUUCCGUAGGUGAACCUGCGGAAGGAUCAUUAACGAAUAUAAUCCGUCGAGGGGAAUGGAGGGGGAGCUGUGGCUGGCCUUUUGCGAGGCAUGUGCACGCUUUUCUUUCGGACUYUUCGUCGUCUUUCAAACCAACCUGUGCACCUAAUGUAGGAUGCCUUCUCCUUCGGGAGGGGGGGGGACCUAUGUAUUCAUAUCAUCUUCGUGUAGAAAGUCUCARAAUGUUUUUUUAUACUACCGUCGAGUCGUGACUUCUAGGAGACGCGAAUCUUCGGGACAAAAGUUAUUACAACUUUCAGCAAUGGAUCUCUUGGCUCUCGCAUCGAUGAAGAACGCAGCGAAUCGCGAUAUGUAAUGUGAAUUGCAGAUCUACAGUGAAUCAUCGAAUCUUUGAACGCACCUUGCGCUCCUCGGUGUUCCGAGGAGCAUGCCUGUUUGAGCGUCAGUAAAUUCUCAACCCCUCUCGAUUUGCUUCGAGAGGGUGCUUGGAUUGUGGGGGCUGCCGGAGACUUGGAUUUAGUAGUCCAGGACUUGGGCUCUCCUGAAAUGCAUCGGCUUGCGGUCGAUUUUUGACUUUGCGUGACAAGGCUUUCGGCGUGAUAAUGAUCGCCGUUCGCUGAAGCGCAUGAAUGAAGAUCCCGUGCCUCUAAUAAGUCGACUGGUACCUCUCUUCGGAGAGCAAAGGUCUUCCUUCUUGACAUUUGACCUCAAAUCAGGCAGGACUACCCG
rnacentral:rRNA from 1 species